GAUGAACGCUAGCGGCAGGCCUAACACAUGCAAGUCGAGGGGUAGAAGGAGCUUGCUCCUUUGAGACCGGCGCACGGGUGCGUAACGCGUAUGCAAUCUACCUUGUACAGGGGAAUAGCCCAGAGAAAUUUGGAUUAAUGCCCCAUAGUAUAUAACCUUCGCAUGUUGGUUAUAUUAAAGUUCCAACGGUACAAGAUGAGCAUGCGUCCCAUUAGUUAGUUGGUAAGGUAACGGCUUACCAAGACGAUGAUGGGUAGGGGUCCUGAGAGGGAGAUCCCCCACACUGGUACUGAGACACGGACCAGACUCCUACGGGAGGCAGCAGUGAGGAAUAUUGGUCAAUGGUCGCAAGACUGAACCAGCCAUGCCGCGUGCAGGAAGACGGUCCUAUGGAUUGUAAACUGCUUUUAUACAGGAAGAAACCCUCCCACGUGUGGGAGCUUGUCGGUACUGUAGGAAUAAGGAUCGGCUAACUCCGUG
rnacentral:rRNA from 1 species